GAGGAGUUGGAAACCAGCCUGGCCAAUAUGGUGAAAUCCUGUCUCUACUAAAAAUACAAAAAUUAGCCAGAUGUGGUGGCGCAUGCCUGUAGUCCCAGCUACUCGGGAGGCUGAGGCAGAAGAACCACUUGAACCCGGGAGGCAGAGUUUGCAGUGAGCUGAGAUGGCACCACCGCACUCCAGCCUGGGCAACAGAGCCACAGCGAGACUCCGUUGCAGAAAAAAAAAAAAUUGUUUUGUAGAUCUUUCAAAGAGUUGUUUCUACUUGGAAUGCUUUCAAAAUUAUAGUAGUUGUAUACCCGCCUCUAGAUCCUCUACUUUAAUGUAUUUUUUAAAAAGCAUAUUAUCUUAACCUUUACGGUAGCUCCCAGUGAUCCUGGUUUCCUGGCAUUCGUACCCUUGUGUAAUCCCCUUCCAGUAACAGAAUAUGGCAGAAAUGAUGGGAUGUCAUUUCUGAGAUUAAGUGUACUGAAUCUAUGUUCUGUACCCUCUCUUCGAGCACUUGCUACAGGGGAAGUGAACUGCUAUGUCCUGAGAUAACUGAGAGGUUGUGGAGAGUGACUCCAUGAGUCUGUGGAGAGGUCAAUAUGACAAAGAACUGAAGCUUGCCAAUAGCCAUUUGAGUGAGCUUGGAAGUGGACCUUUCCCCAGGCUGACUCAUGACUGAUGACUCCAGGGAAAAAUCAAGACACAGGAGAGGAAGGGUAUUCCCGUUCAUCCCAGUAAUGCUAAUCGAGGAAAUGGUCCUCGAGGAAAUGACGCUGCAGCAACAGCAUCACCUGGGGACUUGUUAGCAACAGAAGUUCUCAGACUCCGCCAUAGAACUACUGAAUCAGAAAUUCUGGAAUAAGGCCCAGCAUUCCAUGUUCUAACAAACCUUCCAGGAUGUCAGACUGGCCAAUUUCAUCAGCCAUGAGAGCCAAAGACUCAGAGGAUACACACACUCGUGUACAAAAGCCUCUGCCAGCCAGCAAAGCCUGUUUGUUUUGUCAUGACAACCCUUGUCACUUCCAUCUGGAGGGUGAGUGAUGACGUCAUUAUCAAGAGAGGAUGAGGGCACAGGCUGAGAACCUGUCUGAGCUGCAAGAUUACAGAGAAUUAUAUUUCACAGUCAAAUGAUUAUGACACAGAGAGAAGCCGUCAGUAUAUAUAAGGUGCUUAGGCUUUACAUAAACAAACAUGCACUGUCUUUGACAAGGAAACAACUGGGCUUGAAAAUUUCACAUGAAGAGCAAUAUCGAUGUGUAUGUGAUUUUAAGAGGGAGAGAAUGCGUGAAGCUACUUCAGUGUGCAGGCAGUUCUGUACUGGUGUUUAGUGAGACUAUAAAUGGCUCUCACGGUCUGGUGGUUCUUUUAAGUCUUGGGCACAAAGUUCGCCAUGGUCUAGUCAGCGAUCUGCUGACUAGAGAUGGAAACAAAUCGGAGGGUGCAUAGGAGACAGGCUGUCCCCAGGAGGUGGGUACAGCUAGCAUCAGGAUGGGGGUAGCAGCAGCCUGAUAUAAUCCAAACAGAGACCCUUUGAAGAAUAAAAGGGGAUGCUAUCAAUACUUGUUGCAGGAGAGCAGGCAUAACUGGGGACUGUUCUAAGCAAGCAGGGAUGUGAGGUCACUGCAUGUAAGUGAUGAAGAAAACCGUUUCCUGGUUCCCUCUUAAGAUAGCAGUGCUGAUGUUUUAGAACUAGAAGUGCUGCUGUGUGACAAAACACAGCUAAGAAGAAGACACUGGUCAUCUACAUGCAGAUUAAGAGAAAAUAGCAGGUGAGGGAUUCAUAUGUCACCUCAACAAAUUAGUCCUAGCCAAGGCUUCACACACACAUGACCACAGCAAGUGAGAGGCCUGAUUCCAAGAAUCAGCUGGGACAACUGUUAAAAUAUAGAAUCUCAGGCCAGAGGUGGUGGAUCAUGCCUGUAAUCCCAAAACUUUAGGAGGCCGAGGCAGGAGGAUCUCUUGAGCCAGGAGUUUGAGACCAGUCUGGGCAACACAGGGAGACUCCUGUCUCUACAAAAACACAAAAAUCUGCCAGUGUGGUGGUGCACACCUGUGGUCCCAGCUACUUGUGAGGCUGCAGUGAGCUCUGAUUGUGCCUGGGCGACAGAGCGAGACUCUGUCUCUAAAAAAAAAAUUAAGCAACAAUACAUAGACUCUCAAGUCCUCCCUUGCCACCAUACCAAACGAAUCACAGUCUCCAGAAAAGAAACCUUACAAUACAUCUUAUAGAAUCUUCGUGCCAAAAGCAGCAUUAGCAGUCAUCUAGGGAAAUUUGGUCUUCUUACAAACUAGUGUAACAGAGUGGCAGUUAGCCUGAGCAGUGCAUGAGAUGGGCCUUAAUUCACAGCCUCCCACUGCCCCUUAAUAAAUGUGUGUGGCCCUGGGUAAGGUGCUUAGCUCCCUGAGCCUCCUGGCUCUGUUGGGAGGAUGGUGUAGUGUUUAUAAACCGAUUUGGGCACUGUUUCCACAAAGACUAAGACUUCAAUAGACAGACACCAUUGUUACUGUUUGACCUGCUGAAUGUCAUAGCUCUGGUUUAUAGCACAGCUAUGACUAGAUUCCUUAAACUGUCAUAAUUGUUGUUAUAUUUUUUGUGUUAAUGGCAGGCAGAAGGAACAGAGAUCAUCCCAAACUUGUCUACAUAUGGUUUCUUAAAACCUUUGUAUUUUGAAGUAACUUCAAAUUCAUAAAAAAAUUAUUAGGAACAACACAAGGAAUCCCCAAAUAUCCUUUACACAAAUUUACCAGUUGUUAACUUUUUAUGUGUACCUCAUGUGCAUAUAUACACAUACAUAUAUGUUAUAUAUUAUAUGUAUAUUAUAUAUAUUCCCCCCUAAGUUAUUUGAGGAUUACAGACAUACCUUGAUACCCCUUAAUACUUCAGUCUUGUGUAUACCUAUGUAACAAACCUGCAUAUUCUGCACAUGUAUCCCAGAACUUAAAGUAAAAUUAAGGCCAGGAGCAGUGACU
rnacentral:lncRNA from 1 species